rnacentral:rRNA from 1 species
CCUACGGGAGGCAGCAGUGAGGAAUUUUCCGCAAUGGGCGAAAGCCUGACGGAGCAAUACCGCGUGAGGGAUGAAGGAUUUUGGUCUGUAAACCUCUUUUCUCAAGAAAGAAGUUCUGACGGUACUUGAGGAAUAAGCAUCGGCUAACUCCGUGCCAGCAGCCGCGGUAAUACGGGGGAUGCAAGCGUUAUCCGGAAUGAUUGGGCGUAAAGCGCCUGUAGGUUGUUUAUUAAGUCCGUUGUUAAAGCCUAGGGCUUAACCCUAGAAAAGCAAUGGAAACUAGUAGACUAGAGUAUGGCAGGGGUAGAGGGAAUUUCUAGUGUAGCGGUGAAAUGCGUAGAUAUUAGAAAGAACACCGGUGGCGAAAGCGCUCUACUGGACCAUUACUGACACUCAGAGGCGAAAGCUAGGGUAGCAAAAGGGAUUAGAUACCCCUGUAGUCCUAGCCGUAAACGAUGGAUACUAGAUGUUGUGCAUUAUGUACAGUAUCGUAGCUAACGCGUUAAGUAUCCCGCCUGGGGAGUACGCUCGCAAGGGUGAACUUAAGGAAUUGACGGCUGAGACNGCGACGCGACGACGAGGAGAG